rnacentral:pre_miRNA from 1 species
UGCCGAGGUUUUCCUCGAGAGUUAACUGCAGUCGGUUUUGAAGAAACUCGGCAGUUAACUGCCGAAGGAUAU